rnacentral:pre_miRNA from 1 species
AAAGUACUCCCUCCAUCCCAAAAUUCUUGUCUUAGAUUUGUCUAGAUAUGGAUGUAUCAAGUCACAUUUUAGUAUUAGAUACAUCCGUAUCUAGACAAAUCUAAGACAAGAAAUUUUGGACAGAGGGAGUAGUUG